rnacentral:rRNA from 1 species
UACGUAGGGUGCAAGCGUUAUCCGGAUUCACUGGGUUUAAAGGGUGCGUAGGUGGGUUGGUAAGUCAGUGGUGAAAUCUCCAGGCUUAACUUGGAAACUGCCAUUGAUACUAUCAAUCUUGAAUACCGUGGAGGUCAGCGGAAUAUGUCAUGUAGCGGUGAAAUGCUUAGAUAUGACAUAGAACACCAAUUGCGAAGGCAGCUGGCUACACGAAUAUUGACACUGAUGCACGAAAGCGUGGGGAUCAAACAGG